CACGUAGGGUGCGAGCGUUGUCCGGAAUUAUUGGGCGUAAAGAGCUCGUAGGCGGUGUGUCGCGUCGGCCGUGAAAACCUGCAGCUUAACUGUGGGCGUGCGGUCGAUACGGGCAUCACUGGAGUUCGGCAGGGGAGACUGGAAUUCCUGGUGUAGCGGUGAAAUGCGCAGAUAUCAGGAGGAACACCGGUGGCGAAGGCGGCUCACUGGCCCGAUACUGACGCUGAGGCACGAAAGCGUGGGGAGCAAACAGG
rnacentral:rRNA from 1 species